CCUGCUAACUAGCUACGUGGAGGC
rnacentral:siRNA from 1 species